rnacentral:misc_RNA from 1 species
GAUGAAGAACGUAGUGAAAUGCGAUACGUAGUGUGAAUUGCAGAAUUCAGUGAAUCAUCGAAUCUUUGAACGCACAUUGCACCUCUCGGUAUUCCGGGAGGUAUGCCUGUUCGAGCGUCAUUUGUACCCUCAAGCUCUGCUUGGUGUUGGGUGUUUGUUCCGCCUCUGUGUGUGAACUCGCCUCAAAACAAUUGGCAGCCGGCGUACUUGUUUCGGAGCGCAGCACAUUUUGCGAUCCAGAUCAACGUACAGCGGCAUCCAAGAAGCCUUAUUUAACGCUCUUGACCUCGGAUCAGGUAGGGAUACCCGCUGAACUAAAGCAUAUCAAUAAGCGGAGGA